CACACAACAGAUGCAAUUUUCUGUUUUGGGAGUCGCAGUUCAAAACGAGUCGCAAACUAAAGCCCUCAUCCACGCUAUCGGAUAAAGCCUCUACUACAAAUCGCCGACAACACAAUGGGACGUGCAAUUCUUUCUCCCUUUCUCCUCCUCUCCAACUCCCCUCCUCGCCUGUCUUCUUCACUUAGGUCGCUCGCUGGAUUUCGAAGAGAAUAUCUGCGAAGUUCGAGGCUAAUUCGUAGAAAUGCAAGAUGCUUUACUGGUUUCCGUUGCCACUGCAGUGUCUCACUUUCGGAGCCCGCUGCUCCGGAGAGUUCUUCGAGCUCUGUAAAGAAGAGAAUAGUUUCAGGAGUCCAGCCAACGGGAUCUAUUCACCUGGGGAAUUAUCUUGGUGCUAUAAAAAAUUGGAUAGCUCUUCAGAAUACAUAUGAGACUCUCUUCUUCAUUGUCGACCUCCACGCGAUUACAUUACCAUAUGAAACACAACAAUUGUUGAGGUCUACGAGGGAGACAGCAGCAAUUUAUUUGGCAUGUGGUGUUGACACUUCCAAGGCUUCUGUAUUUGUGCAGUCUCAUGUUCGUGCUCAUGUAGAACUAAUGUGGCUUCUAAGUUCUGCUACACCAAUUGGUUGGCUGAAUAGGAUGAUCCAGUUUAAAGAGAAAUCCCGAAAAGCUGGUGAUGAAAACGUUGGGGUUGCUCUUUUGACUUAUCCUGUUUUGAUGGCAUCUGAUAUACUUCUGUAUCAGUCUGACUUUGUACCAGUUGGUGAGGAUCAAAAGCAACAUCUGGAAUUGACCCGUGAGAUAGCUGAGCGCAUUAAUUAUUUAUAUGGAGGAAGAAGGUGGAAGAAAUUAGGAGGGCGAGGAGGUGCUAUCUUUAAGGUUCCUGAGCCCCUUAUACCACCUGCUGGAGCCCGAGUUAUGUCUUUGACAGAUGGUCUUGCCAAGAUGUCCAAGUCUGCACCUUCUGACCAAUCUCGAAUCAAUCUUCUUGACUCAAAGGAUGUGAUAGCAAACAAGAUAAAACGAUGCAAAACAGAUUCAUUUUCGGGCCUAGAAUUUGAUAACCCUGAAAGACCUGAAUGCAACAAUCUUCUUUCAGUAUAUCAACUUAUCUCAGGCAAGACAAAAGAGGAAGUUAAGCAGGAAUGUCAAGAUAUGAAUUGGGGCAUGUUCAAACCUCUCCUAACAGAUGCCUUAAUUGACCAUCUACAUCCUAUCCAGGUUCGUUAUGGAGAAAUAAUAUCAGAUUCAGCUUAUUUGGAUAAAGUCCUAGAAGAAGGUGCUACUAAAGCUGCAGAGAUAGCAGAUGCCACUCUCAAUAAUGCAUACCAGGCAAUGGGAUUCUUGCGGAGGAGAUGAGCAGAAUUGAUGCAAGAGGAAAAAAUUCAUAAGAUACCUGUACACGGCAACCUUAAAGUUAAUUUUGGAGGAUCAAUCAUUGCCCAAAAUUAUUUGGAGAGAAUACUUUAUUGAGAAAUCCCCACAAUUUUUUUCCAUGAUACAGCUGCCUCUACCUCUCAUCAAGACAGGUCCUCUUUUAUUCUCUGUUGAUUGUUGAACUUGCUAAUGUUAUGCUACAAAUUCUCCAUGGUAUGACUGCCAUAUACUGGUAAUCUUAUGUUGAUUUUAUCUUUCUCCA